rnacentral:rRNA from 1 species
AGAGUUUGAUCCUGGCUCAGGAUGAACGCUGGCGGCGUGUCUUAGGCAUGCAAGUCGAACGGGCAUGUGGAGCAAUCUAUAUGUUAGUGGCAAACGGGUGCGUAACACAUUGGCAACCUGCCCCAAAGUUCGGAACAACUCCUCGAAAGGGGAGCUAAUACCGGAUGUGGUUCCAGUUCGCAAGGACUGGAAAGAACGGCGUAAGCCGCUUUGGGAGGGGCCUAUGGUCCAUCAGCUAGUUGGUAAGGUAACGGCUUACCAAGGCUUCGACGGAUAGCGGGUGUGAGAGCACGACCCGCCUCACUGGGACUGAGACACUGCCCAGACUUCUACAGAAGGCUGCAGUCGAGAAUCUUCCCCAAUGGCCGAAAGGCUGAGGGAGCGACGCCGCGUGCAGGAAGACGCUCUUCGGAGUGUAAACUGCUUUUCUUCGGGAACAACUCUGAGUGUACCGAAGGAAUAAGGGGCUGCUAACUUCGUGCCAGCAGCAGCGGUAAUACGAAGGCCCCGAGCGUUAUCCGGAUUUAUUGGGCGUAAAGCGUUAAAAGGUGGCUUGGUAAGUAUCUCGUCAAAUCUCAGGGCUUAACCCUGAGGCCGCGAGGUAAACUGCCUGGCUCGAGGGCGGAAGAGGCAAGCGGAACUACCGGUGUAGUGGUAAAAUGCGUUCAUAUCGGUAGGAACACCAAAGGCGAAGGCAGCUUGCUAGUACGAUCCUGACACUAAAUAACGAAAGCGUGGGGAGCGAAUGGGAUUAGAUACCCCCGUAGUCC